UCUGCUCUGCCUCCCUCGCUGCUGCCUCCGCAUCCCUCGCUGCUGCCUCUGCUCUAAGUUGAGAAAUUUUCUCAUCUGUACUAGCUUGUAUCUGAACUAUCUGAUCUUUUAACCUCUGAACUUCAGCUUGACUUUGACUCUCGGAAGGCAUGUAUUGGUGUGAGGUGGAUCCAAAAUAUUGGGUCGGGUUAACACCAGAUCCUUG
rnacentral:lncRNA from 1 species